rnacentral:rRNA from 1 species
AUGCUGGCCGACGACGGUGCUGCCUCUGAAGAGGAUGAGGAGGAGAAGAAGAAGGCCGUGGUGCAGCACAAGACGCCCAAGCAGAGAAAGAAGCGCACCAAAACCCCCACUCCAAAGGACAAGGAGGAGGAGGAGGAGGACAAAGCCGAGAUGGCACACAAGACCCCCAAGCAGACAAGGAGGCCCGCCAAAGCCUCGCUCAUGGACUCCGAGGAGGAGGAGGAGCAGAAACUCAGCAGCCAGAACAAGGCCGAGAGCGGCACUGCCCUCUCCGGGAGGCGCGAGCGCAAGAAGAGCAAGUAUCUCUCGCCGCCCUACACCAACAUCGGCGUCUUUGCUCUUGAGGACAAGUCAGAUGAUUCGCCAAAGAAAUCGCCGCCCGCCAGAGCUGCUAACAAGGAUGAGAGCAAGUAUAACAAGGGGUCACCGGAUGAGAAGCACAAGAAGAAGAGCAAGGUGGUGGUACCGCCGCCGCUUCCGCUUCCGCUGGACAAUGUUGCUGCUCAGGAGGUCCUGCUGCUGCUGCGCUGCUUCGGGGAGGACGUCUCUCACAAGAGGCACUUCCCCAAGGCCGCGGAGGACUUCCUUGGCCUGCUUAGGAGCUCCGUGUUUGCCGAGGGUGCUCACCAUGACUCCUACAAGGACCAUGAAUGCUCACACAUUCCCAAGAAUGCUGCUGUUGAGAAAGCUGCUGCUGCUGCAGAUGUCCUGGUUUCAGAUUCAGCUGCUACUCCCAAACAAGGCAAGGGUAAGCGUGGUAGAAAGAAGAAGGAUCAGGAUGGCAGUGCCGAUUCUUCUUCUAUCAACAACAACAACAAGAAGAAGAAGAAGAAGAAGACGGCCGCUCUUGACUGUGCAGCGGAGGAUGCUUCUGAGGAGAAUAAGAAAGAGGAGAAUGUUUCUGACAAGAAGAAGAGGGGCAGAAAGAAGAAGGAGCAGGAGCAGGAUGGAACCUCCCCAAAAGGCUCUGUUAUCAACAAGAGGAAGAAGAUUGACAAAACCUCCCCAAAAGCAACUCUUGGGCCUGCCUCUGCCUCUGCCUCUGGCUCUGGCUCUGGCUUGGUUAUCACGCCCGCCAUUCCUAUCAGGCAGGUGAGUGCUGAGGAUAUCAUGAGCCAAGUCAAACCAGGCAUGGGAGCUGGGGUUCCUGAUCCCAAGAUGAAGAACAGCUUGUUGGUGUCAAAGAGCCCUAUUUCAGCUACAAUGUCUGGAGGAGUAAAAUCAGGAGAGGAGCAGGAGCAAGGGGACGGUGGAUCCGUUGUGAAUGCUUCAUCUGACCAAUCUGCCAAAAAGAAUGAGGAGGAAGCAACAAAGCCAGCAACUGAUAUGAAUGUGGACGGAGAUGUGCCCCAGACUCAAGUUACAAUGCCUGUGAAUGCUGAUGUUAAAAUGCCUGAAGCUGCUGGUAUGAAUGUGGAUAUUCUUAACGCAGAUGUUGCUGCCGCAAGUGCCCAGGCACAAGUGAUGACUCUGCCUGAAACUGGUGGUAUUCAGUUAUUAGAUAUGAAUGUGGAAAGUGUUGUAGAUGUGCCUGUCGUCACAAGUGUCGAGAUGGAAGCCAUGGAGCUGGAAGCUAGUAUUCCUGUACUAGAUAUAAAUGAACAAGUUGCUGCUGUUGAAGAUGUGCCUGCUACAAGUGGCUUGCUUCCACCUAUCAUCCAUGGAGAUAUCAUAUCCCAGCCCGCCGAUGAAAACAAAGACAAAAACGCAAGUGUGCAAGUUCGUGCAGUUCAAGAGUCAUACACAUCUCUGAUUCAGGCGAUGCUGCCGGAAACGUACAAGAAAGUGGAGGAGGUCGCUGCUGGAGCAGGUGCCGUCGCGGCGCCUCAAGGUGAUGAGACUCAAAAGGUUGAAGAGACUAGCCAGAACAAGGCAGUUGCUGCAAAAGGUAGUGGUGGUGCUACCAAUGGGAGCCCCUGCCCUCCUGAUGCGCCCAACUCUGCCCACAAGAGGAGAAACAAGAAGCCCGCAGCAGCAGCAUACUUUGCCAACCCAGCAGAGAUCCGGGUGAAAUUCUUGGACGGCACCAUGGUCCCCACCAAGGAGGAGCUGCUCUCAGAGUUCCGCAGGUUUGGCGUCCUGGUGGAGUCGGAGUGCGACAUAUCAGAAGAGCGCCGCGACGCGCGCGUGGUGUUUGGGAAGAGCACCGAGGCAGAGGCGGCCUACACCAAGGCGGAGAUCCCAGGCAUCUUCGGGCAGUUCGGGCCCCCCUGGGCCACCCUGGGGCUCAACUACCUGGAGGCGAUCACGCUUGCGCCUGCCCGUCCCGCCAAGCCCCUGCUGGCUCGUGCCGACAUGAGGAAGAACGUGGAGAACAUGAUCUCGUCCCUGAAGAACGGGCGGUCUUUGCCGCUCAACGUUGGAGCGGCGGCGUUCCCAGCCGCUCCCGCUCCCGCUGGAGGAGGAGCGGCGCCCGUGUCGGCGAGCCUCCUUGCUGAGAUGCAGCGGCUCCUGUCCAAGCUUGACAAGACGCAGCCCCCCCCUGGGCCUUCGGGCUCGGCUCCUCCUCCGUCGUCGUAG